rnacentral:rRNA from 1 species
CCUUAGAGUUUGAUCCUGGCUCAGGAUGAACGCUAGCUACAGGCUUAACACAUGCAAGUCGAGGGGAAACGAUAGAGAAAGCUUGCUUUUUCUAGGCGUCGACCGGCGCACGGGUGAGUAACGCGUAUCCAACCUGCCCACCACUUGGGAAUAACCUUGCGAAAGUAAGACUAAUACCCAAUGAUAUCUCUAGAAGACAUCUGAAGGAGAUUAAAGAUUUAUCGGUGAUGGAUGGGGAUGCGUCUGAUUAGCUUGUUGGCGGGGUAACGGCCCACCAAGGCUACGAUCAGUAGGGGUUCUGAGAGGAAGGUCCCCCACAUUGGAACUGAGACACGGUCCAAACUCCUACGGGAGGCAGCAGUGAGGAAUAUUGGUCAAUGGGCGAGAGCCUGAACCAGCCAAGUAGCGUGCAGGAUGACGGCCCUAUGGGUUGUAAACUGCUUUUAUAAGGGAAUAAAGUGAGUCUCGUGAGACUUUUUGCAUGUACCUUAUGAAUAAGGACCGGCUAAUUCCGUGCCAGCAGCCGCGGUAAUACGGAAGGUCCGGGCGUUAUCCGGAUUUAUUGGGUUUAAAGGGAGCGUAGGCCGGAGAUUAAGCGUGUUGUGAAAUGUAGAUGCUCAACAUCUGCACUGCAGCGCGAACUGGUUUCCUUGAGUACGCACAAAGUGGGCGGAAUUCGUGGUGUAGCGGUGAAAUGCUUAGAUAUCACGAAGAACUCCGAUUGCGAAGGCAGCUCACUGGAGCGCAACUGACGCUGAAGCUCGAAAGUGCGGGUAUCGAACAGGAUUAGAUACCCUGGUAGUCCGCACGGUAAACGAUGGAUGCCCGCUGUUGGUCUGAAUAGGUCAGCGGCCAAGCGAAAGCAUUAAGCAUCCCACCUGGGGAGUACGCCGGCAACGGUGAAACUCAAAUGAAUUGACGG